UACGGGGGGGAGCAAGCGUUGUUCGGAUUUACUGGGCGUAAAGAGCGCGCAGGCGGUCGUGCAAGUCGCGUGUGAAAGCCCCCGGCUCAACUGGGGAGGGUCACGCGAUACUGCUCGACUUGAAGGCAGGAGAGGGAAGCAGAAUUCCCGGUGUAGUGGUGAAAUGCGUAGAUAUCGGGAGGAAUACCAGUGGCGAAGGCGGCUUCCUGGCCUGUUCUUGACGCUGAGGCGCGAAAGCUAGGGUAGCAAACGGG
rnacentral:rRNA from 1 species